AAGGGUUUAGCUUAAUGAAAGCAGCUGAGUUGCAUUCAGUAGAUGUGGGAUAAAGUCUUGCAAUCCUUA
rnacentral:tRNA from 1 species